rnacentral:rRNA from 1 species
AUGUCGUCCUCCCCUACCCCCGCGCCAGACGCCGGCGCCGCCGCGAUGGCCGUCGACGACUCGUCGGAGACCGACCAGCUCGACUCCAUGUCCACGGAGGACAUCGUCCGGGCCACCCGCCUCCUCGACAACGAGGUCCGCGUCCUCAAGGACGAGCUGCAGCGGAACAACCUGGAGCUCGAGAACGUCAAGGACAAGAUCAAGGAGAACCAGGAGAAGAUAAAGCUCAACAAGCAGCUGCCCUACCUCGUCGGCAACAUCGUCGAGAUUUUGGAAAUGAACCCUGAAGAUGAGGCUGAAGAGGAUGGUGCUAAUAUAGAUCUGGACUCACAGAGGAAAGGAAAAUGUGUUGUUCUUAAGACAUCCACAAGACAGACUAUAUUCCUUCCUGUGAUCGGGCUAGUUGACCCUGACAACCUCAAGCCUGGUGAUUUGGUUGGAGUCAACAAGGACAGCUACUUGAUAUUAGACACGCUACCUUCGGAGUAUGACUCUCGAGUAAAGGCAAUGGAGGUAGAUGAAAAGCCUACGGAGGAUUAUAAUGACAUUGGCGGCCUUGAGAAAGAGAUUCAGGAACUCGUUGAAGCUAUAGUGUUGCCAAUGACACACAAGGAGCAAUUUCAGAAGUUGGGAAUCCGUCCCCCGAAAGGAGUUCUUUUAUAUGGAUCACCUGGGACGGGAAAGACGUUGAUGGCUCGUGCAUGUGCUGCACAAACCAAUGCAACCUUUCUGAAACUUGCUGGUCCGCAGCUAGUCCAGAUGUUCAUCGGUGAUGGGGCAAAGCUUGUCCGAGAUGCCUUUGAGUUGGCAAAGGAGAAGGCCCCCUGCAUCAUUUUUAUUGAUGAGAUUGAUGCAAUUGGAACAAAGCGUUUUGACAGUGAAGUGAGUGGUGACAGAGAAGUGCAACGAACUAUGUUGGAGUUGCUGAAUCAGCUAGAUGGAUUUAGCAGUGAUGAGAGGAUAAAGGUGAUAGCUGCAACCAAUCGUGCAGAUAUUCUCGAUCCUGCUUUACUCCGUUCUGGUCGCCUGGACAGAAAGAUUGAGUUCCCUCAUCCGACGGAAGAAGCAAGAGCUCGGAUUUUGCAAAUUCACUCAAGAAAGAUGAACGUACAUCCUGAUGUCAACUUUGAGGAGCUGGCUCGUUCAACUGAUGAUUUCAACGGUGCACAACUGAAGGCUGUUUGUGUGGAAGCUGGCAUGCUUGCUCUACGCAGGGACGCUACAGAGGUGAUCCAUGAAGAUUUCAACGAAGGCAUUAUCCAAGUGCAAGCAAAGAAGAAGUCCAGCUUGAAUUAUUACGCUUAG